GAUGAACGCUAGCGGCAGGCCUAACACAUGCAAGUCGAGCGGUAAGCCUUCGCGCUUGGGCCGUCGCACGGGUGCGUACCGCGUAUACAAUCUGCCUUAUAUCCGCGGGAUAGCCCGGAGAACUUUAGGUAAAUACCCUAUGGUAUAAGAACACGGCCUCGUUCCCUUAUUAAGGCUACGGCGUUACAGGGUGAGUAUGCGUUCUAUUAGCUAGUUGGUGAGGUACCGGCUCCCCAAGGCGACGAUAGAUAGGGGUUUUGAGAGGGAUGGACCCCACACUGGUACUGGGAUACGGACCAGUCUCCUACGGGACGCAGCAGUGAGGGAUAUUGAACUAGGGUCGGAUGACUGAUCCAGCCAUGCCGCGUGCAGGAUGACGGCCUUAUGGGUGGUAAACUGCUGUUGGAAGGGAAGAUUAAGGUGUACGGGUACUUUGAUGACGGUACCUGACGAAUAAGCAUCGGCUAACUCCGUG
rnacentral:rRNA from 1 species